UACGGAGGGGGCUAGCGUUGUUCGGAAUUACUGGGCGUAAAGCGCGCGUAGGCGGCUUUGUAAGUUAGAGGUGAAAGCCCGGAGCUCAACUCCGGAACUGCCUUUAAGACUGCAUCGCUAGAACGUCGGAGAGGUAAGUGGAAUUCCGAGUGUAGAGGUGAAAUUCGUAGAUAUUAGGAAGAACACCGGUGGCGAAGGCGGCCCACUGGUCCGGUACUGACGCUGAGGUGCGAAAGCGUGGGGAGCAAACAGG
rnacentral:rRNA from 1 species